rnacentral:lncRNA from 1 species
UCCUCUUCGCAUUCGACACAGCUUCUGCGGUCCAAAGUUUGCAGAAGCGAGAAUAACAGAAGCAUCAGCAAAUUCAAAAUUCUACAAGUCCAAAAAUUUUUCGUUAGUCACCCGAACUCACCCCUAGGACCCUGGGACCUCAACCAAAAAUACCAAUACAUCCUAAAAUGUUAUUCAAACUUGUUCCAAUCAUCAAAACACCUCAAAAAACACCAAAACCAUCGAAUUACAUCGAAUUCAAGCCUAAGUUCUCCUAAAACUUUUGAAACACGCAUUCGAUCAAAAACCCAACCAAAUCACCUAUGAAUGACCUGAAACUUUGCACACACAUCACCAAUCACAUAUGAAGCUACAACAACUCUCAGAAUUCCUUUCCGACCCUCGGAUCAAAAUCUCACCUAUCAACCGGAAUUCGCCAAAAUACUAAUUUUGCCAAUUCAAGCCAAUUUCUACAUCGGGCCUCCAAAAUCACUUCCUCACACUCCUAAGCCACAAAUCAUCGCUGAAGCUAGCCAAGUUAUCAGAAAUCACAUUCGAGCCCUCUAACUCAUAAGUCAAUAUCCGGUUGACUUUUCCAAACUAGGCUUCCUUGAAGACUAAGUAUCUCAUUUCCUACCAAAAUCAAUCCAAAACAACUCGAUCACACCAAAUAUCGAUAAUGAAACAUGAAGAAGCAGAAAAUGGGGAAAAAGGGAUGGUAACUCAUGCGACGAUGGGUCGAUUCAUCACAUCAACCCAUAUUAACCUAAGCCGAAUACCCCUAAAAUCCUAGACUUAGACGUAAAAAAAACCCUACAAUACUAGUCGUUAUUCUUAGCAAAAAAUAACACCAGAAAACCCUAGACUAGCUCUCCACCUUCUUCAACAACAACGUAACGCCGCCCUACAACCACCACCAGCCAUCGGUCCACUUUUCUCCACCGGCUACCUGCGGUGGACAGACCCCAUCAGCAUUUUUCUUCUACUUCGCAUGGAACAGACAUGCACGGACCCCCUCCAUUCAGCCACACCCCACCCCCUGAAAUCCAACGCCUACAGCUGCUCUCUCACGACCAAAAAAACGCCGGAAUAUCAACCAAACAGACCCGUCUCCAUCCACUUUCACCAGGUCUCGCCGGAAAUAGCGACCAACAGUGACGAAGGGCUAUGGUCGUCACUGAAAUCUUCAGAUCUGCUUAAUCGUCUAAGUUUUCAGGCAAGGCAUUUGGUUUCCGAUUCGAGGUUCUAGCUGCCGGUUCAGGGACGGUUCGAGGUCCGAUUUAGUUGUUGCUCGUGUUUGUUUUCGUCGCCGGAACUUUCGCACGGUCAGUCCGAACAUAUCUUUGUAGUCACUGAUUUUACUCAUUUAAAAGAAGCCAUCUCAGGUUCAAUAUUCCCCACUCUCACUUCUAUUUUGACGUCAAUUUUGAAUGCGAUAUGAAUAGCAUGAUACCUAUCUAUUGUUUCUUUUUAAUUUUUC